rnacentral:rRNA from 1 species
GAUGAACGCUGGCGGCGUGCCUAAUACAUGCAAGUCGAGCGGCAGCGCGGUCUUCGGACUGGCGGCGAGCGGCGGACGGCAGAGUAACGCGUAGGAACAUACCCCAACGUGAGGGAUAACUGCCCGAAAGGGUGGCUAAUACCGCAUGUGAUCUUCGGAUUAAAGCUUUAUGCGCUUUGGGAAGGGCCUGCGUUGGAUUAGCUUGUUGGUGAGGUAAUGGCUCACCAAGCCGACGAUCCGUAGCUGGUCUGAGAGGAUGACCAGCCAGACUGGAACUGAGACACGGUCCAGACUCCUACGGGAGGCAGCAGUGAGGAAUCUUCCACAAUGGGGGCAACCCUGAUGGAGCAACGCCGCGUGCAGGAUGAAGGCCUUCGGGUUGUAAACUGCUUUUAUUAGUGAAGAAUAUGACGGUAACUAAUGAAUAAGGAUCGGCUAACUACGUGCCAGCAGCCGCGGUAA